AUCUUCUUCUAGUACAUUGAUUGCUCAAUUGUCCUUUCCAUAUUAGCUUCUGUGGUGCCAAACAGUUGGUCUCUCUUUUUUUUAAUGAGUAGCCAAACAUUGAGUGAGGGAAAGGAAAAAAGAAAAAGAAUACAAGAGCAUGCAAAAUAGAGCUACAAAGGACGGAGGCAUACUAAUGAAAAUGUCUCCAAUCAAAACAUGGCUUGAAGGGUAAUGCCAAAAAAUGUAAUUUUUUGUGUAUUUCAUAAAGAGAGAAGAAUUUUCUUAAAUAGAAGAACAACCCAUUACAAAUAAUGAAAAGAUAAUUUUGGUAAAUAUAAUGCAACUAAUACAAUAAAAUAUAAUACAAAAGAGGAAUUAAUCAACAGGUAAUUUAAAAGGACCCCAACAUCGAAGCUUUUAGAGAUAUCUAACAAAGGGCCAAACAUCAUUUAAUAACCUUUCAAGCCCUUUAGAAUAGCACACACCCAACUUGCCACAACGAUCUUUCCUUCUCACAAAAAGGAGGGUAGGGAAUGAAACUCCUCUUGCGUCUUCUUGCAACGCCCAUGUCCUCAAACAUUAUGAGAAAAAUGAUACAUCCCAAAUUAUGACUAUCAAGCAUUAGCAUAGACACGUUAGGAUAUAUAUAUAUAUAUAUAUAUAUGUGUGUGUUUUACAUAAUUAUGCUAAAUGUAAUCCACCAAAAAGCAUAAAAUAUCAAGAAUAGUAGGGUGAGCGAAAUAAUCUUAACGAAAGUGGUUGUUUCUUAAAAACAAUGGAAGGGCCUGUAACCACCCCUCCCCCAUGAAAUCCAUUCAAAAUGGAGUGAUCCAUAUUAUCACCUUAUGUCAUAAGAAGAGACUCAUGUUGAAAAUGCUAUUAGGAUUGUUCUUUUUUUUUUUUUUUUUUUUUUCGACACAAAACAUUUCAUUGAUGAAUGGAAUAAUCCAAAGAGUACAUAAAGGUGAAAUCCCCAAAAAGUUACGGAGGAAACUAUACUUGAGCAAAAGAUUAAUCCUUAAAAAAAUGUAGCAAAAAAAUAAAAUACAAUCAAAAUGGACAAGAACAAAGCAUUGGGAGAUUCAAGAUGCCAAAGCUCCAAAGUAUCAACACAAAAGAGAGGUUGCCAAAAAAACAAGUCGGCCAACCCUGACCAAAUGUGAAAGGAUUGUUAGCACUACAUAGGAUUAUAACAUGAUGAUGUAAUAAGAUAGCAGUUAGACUAUUAAUAGUUUAAACUAAUCAGCUGUAAACUGAUUAGUUAUCCAUAAUUCAUCAAUAAAUAUCCCUUCUCUAGCCACAAAAAGGCAGAGAAUUCAUUUGAGGAAAUUACCCAACUUUGAAUUACACCAAAGUGGUAUCAGAGUAGCCUUGGUCGUGGGAACUGAAUGGCUUGUCAGCGAGGAGCUAUCCUAGCUGCGGGGGACAACCGUGAGCAAGAAGAAGCAGAAGAGAUCACCAUUCUCUCUCCAAGGACAACAAUAGUACGCUUGCUGGCAGUUGAAGACUCCUUGGGAGAUUUGCACGAUAAGUUCGAUAGGAUGAUGCAAUUAACUAAAGGAACAAUGAAACAAAGGAGGCCAGCAAGCAUGAAGGAACCAUAGAAACUUGCCCAAUCAAAGAAAUGACCGAAGAAGGAGGCCUAAUGAAGUUCCACUGUGAUACGCCGACAACGAUACUCAAGAAGACUAUGAAGCUUGGCAGAAUAGGCAAGAAGACGAUUCCUCAACGACGAUGAGCAAGGAAACAUCUGGAAUAACAAUGAUGAUUUUCAAAUGGGACAAGCUUACAAAAGGCAAGAAGCACGAAGAGAAGUUCAUCAUGAUUACAGGAUGAAAAUUGAUCUCUCAAUCUACAAUGCUGCGAGGAGGAGCUUCGACGUGGUGGGACCAGUUGGAAAUUAAUAGACAAAGGUGUGGCAAGCCAGCCAUUCGUUCGUGGGAGAAGAUGAAGAAGCUUUUAAAGGCACGUUUCUUACCUCCAAACUUCGAGCAAACAUUAUACAACCAAUAUCAAAUUGCCGCCAAGGAAGUCGAUCAGUAGCUGAGUACAUUGAAGAAUUUCAUAGAUUGAGCGCAAGAACCAAUCUGAGUGAGAAUGAACAGCACCAAAUAGCAAGGUUUAUUGGUGGUCUUCGAUUUGAUAUAAAGGAGAAGGUAAAACUACAACCAUUUUGUUUCUUGUAUGAAGCCAUCUCCCUUGCAGAAUAGUGGAAGAAAUGAUGGCUGCACGAAUAAAGAGCUCAAACAGAAAGACUACAUGGGAAGCAAACUCCACCAAGAAACAAACUUACAGUAGUAGAAUGAAUGAACAACCAUCAACGUCAGUUGCAAAGAAGAGUAAAGAUGUUGAUACUCAUGAUGCAGCCAAGAAAAAGGAUAAUACAAGCAAAAGGAAGAGCCAGAAUACCUACACUCACCCAUCUUUGGGAAAGUGUUUUCGAUGUGGCCAAUCUAGCCACUUAUCCAACAACUGUCCUCAAAGGAAGACUAUAGCACUAAUUGAUGAAGAGAGCAAUUCUAUAAGUGAAGAUGAUAAAAAAGAAGAAGAGGAAGCAGAAUUCAUAGAAGUCGAUGAUGGUGAUCGAAUUUCUUGUGUUAUACAAAGAGUCCUCAUUGCUCCUAAAGAAGAAACAAAUCCUCAAUGCUACAGCCUAUUCUAGACGAGAUGUACUAUCAAUAGAAGAGUUUGUGAUGUAAUAAUUGAUAGCGGAAGCAGUGAGAACUUCGUGCCAAGGAAGCUUGUAACCAUCCUAAAUUUGAAAACCGAUCCUCACCCAAAUCCAUAUAAGAUAGGAUGGGUAAGGAAAGGAGGAGAGGCUUCAAUCAAUGAGAUCUGCACAGUUCUCCUCUCCAUUGAAAAUGGUUAUAAAGAUCAGAUUGUGUGUGAUGUAAUUGAAAUGGAUGUAUGCCAUUUACUAUUAGGAAGGCCAUGGCAUCAUGACACUCGAACCCUACAUAGGGGGAGAGAAAAUACGUACGAAUUCCAAUGGAUGGGAAAGAAAGUAAUCCUAAUCCCAUUGACAAAGAAAAAUACAGAAGGCAUGAGGCAGCAAAAGAAUAAAGGGCAGCUUUUCAUCACUAUAAGUGGGAAGAAAUUAUUGAGAGAAAGGGAGCAAGACCUUUUGGGACUAGUAGUUGCAGAUAAAUCCGAAGAGAAGGAACAUGAAAUCAUAGGGCCGAAGCUUAAGAGGUUAUUUGCAGAAUUCCCACAUUUGAAGGAGCCACAACGACUGCCUCCACUCAAUGACAUUCAGCACCAAAUUGACCGUAUCCCAAGAGUAUCAUUGCCUAAUCUAGCUCAUUAUAGGAUGAGUCCAGAAGAAUAUUAAGUCUUGCACGAUCAUAUCGAAGACUUACUAAAGAAAGGUCACAUCAAGCCGAGCCUAAGUCCAUGUGUUGUACCUGCAUUGCUCACACCUAAGAAGGAUGGAAGUUGGAGAAUGUGCGUGGACAGCAAGGCUAUUAAUCGAAUUACCAUGAAAUAUCGGUUUCCUAUUCCUCGGAUUGGAGACCUUUUGGACCAGCUAGGCAAGGCUACUAUCUUCUCAAAAAUUGACCUAAAAAGUGGUUAUCAUCAACAAAGGAUCAGACCAAGAAAUGAAUGGAAGACAGCCUUCAAGACAAAUGAAGAAUUGUUUUGAGUGGUUGGUAAUUCCUUUCGGCUUUCCAAUGCACCAAAUACUUUUAUGAGAUGGAUGAACCAAGUGCUACAUCGCUUUUUAAAUCGAUUUAUAGUGGUUUACUUUGAUGAUAUUCUCGUAUACAGCAACAACAAUGAAGAAGAUAUUCAGCACUUAAGAAAACUAUUUCAAGUCUUGACAGAAACAGAGAUGUAUAUUAAUCCAAAGAAGUGCACAUGCCUGCCCAAGGAGAUUGUCUUUCUUGGGUUCUUGAUUAAAGAAGGGAAGAUAGACAUGGAACCUAAAAAGGUAGAAGCCAUACACACUUGGCCAGCACCAACAUCCAUUAAGGAAGUUCAAGCUUUUCUUGUCUUGGCCUCUUUUUACAGAAAAUUCAUGAGAAACUUCAGCUCGAUAGUGGCCCUUUAACUGAUUGUUUAAAGAAAAGGAAACUUCAAAUGGGAUCAAGUACAACAAGAGAGUUUUGAAGAUAUAAAAAGAAGGCUAACUUCAGUCCUAUCCUACAAUUGCCAGAUUUCGCAUCACCAUUUGAAGUAGCUAUAUUAUCCCAACAAGGCCACCUAAUUGAGUAUUUCAGUGAGAAGCUGAGUUCAUCAAGGCAGUGUCGAAGCACAUAUGAACAAGAGCUUUAUGCCCUUGUUCGAGCACUCAAACAGUGGGAAGACUACCUUCUAUGUAAAGAAUUUGUACUCCUAACCAAUCACUUCUCUUUAAAGUAUCUCCAAUCACGAAAGAACAUCAGUCGAAUGCAUGCACGAUGGAUCUUCCUACAGAGAUUUGAUUUUGUCAUCAAGCAUCAAAGUGGAAAAAGAAUAAAAUGGCAGAUGCCCUAUCCAGAAAGAGUUCCUUACUCGCUCUCCUAUCCUUGGAAAUUGAAGCAUUCAAACACCUCUUUGACUUAUAUGAAGAAGAUGUUGAUUUUUUUUAGAUAUAGUUUAAAUGCAGCAACUAUAUCAAGGCCGAAGACUUUCAUAUAAUGGAAGGUUUCUUGUUCAAAGGAGAUCAAUUGUGUAUCCCACACACAUUACUAUGAGAAACUCUAUUAAAAGAAGCUCAUUCUGGAGGAAUGGCUGGAGACUUCAGGCAAGAUAAGACUUUUGAAAUAAUUUCCAAAAGGUACUAUUGGCCUCAACUAAAAAGAGACUCCAACAACUUUGUUAAGAGAUGCCCUAAUUGUCAAAGAGCUAAAGGCUCAAGUACGAAUGCAGGCCUAUACUCACCACUACCCAUCCCAACUUCCAUUUGGGAAGAUUUGUCCAUUGACUUCAUGCUUGGACUGCCCAAAACUCAAAGACAAUAUGAUUCAGUCAUGGUCGUGGUAGACAGAUUUAGCAAGAUGACACUUUGUAGCCUGUAAAAAGACAAAUGAUGUCAUCUACAUAACUAAUUUCUUCUUUAGAGAGAUAGUUCGACUACAUGGAGUAUCCAAAACCAUUGUUUCUAAUCGGGAUGUCAAAUUCUUAAGCCACUUUUGGAGGACCUUAUGGAAGAAGCUUGACACAACCUUAAAAUACAGCACAAUACCACAUCUCCAAACAGAUGGCCAAACAGAAGUCACAAACAGAACACUAGGCAACUUGAUACGUUGUCUUAGUGGAUCUGAACCAAAACAAUGAGAUCUAGCUCUUGCUCAAGCAGAAUUUGCUUUCAAUAACAUGAAAAACAAUCCUAUUGACAAAUGUCCAUUUAAGGUUGUAUAUACUAGGCAACCACAGCUUACUUUUGAUAGCGUCACUCCUUACAACAGUAGACACCAAUACACCAAUACAGAAGCAGAAAAAAUGAUAGAGAAAAUUGGAUGUCUACAUAAAGAAGUCCACGAUCACUUGAAAGAAACAACUCAAUCCUACAAAAAGACAGCAGACAAGAAGAGGAGACAAGCUGCCUUUGCUGAAGGAGAUUUAGUAAUGAUUCAUCUCAGAAAAAAUCGAUUUCCAGCCCGAAUAUACAGCAAACUCAAGGAUAGACAAUUUGGCCCAUUCCGAGUCCUCAAGAAGUUUGGAGAUAACACCUACAAAAUAGAACUACCAACUAACUUGCAUAUUCAUUGAGUAUUCAAUGUGGCUGACCUAAAGCAUUACUAUGCACCGGAUGAUUUCAAACUAGCCAGCUGAUUCACUCGGGUCGUGUUGUCUUAGGAGGAUGGAUGAUGUAAUAAGAUAGCAGUUAGACUGUUAAUAGUUUAAACUAAUCAGCUGUAAACUGAUUAGUUAUCCUAACCCCCAACUACCUAACCAUUUGUAACAAACUCUCAUAUAACUGAUUCUAACUACCCAUCAUAAUUCAUCAAUAAAUACCCAUUCUCUAGCCACAUAAAGGCAGAGAAUUCAUUUGAGGAAA